rnacentral:miRNA from 1 species
AAAGCACUUCCCUCUAGAGGGU